GACGAACGCUGGCUGCGUGCUUAACACAUGCAAGUCGAACGCUGAAGCCUGGUGCUUGCACCGGGUGGAUGAGUGGCGAACGGGUGAGUAACACGUGAGUAACCUGCCCCUGACUUCGGGAUAAGCCCGGGAAACUGGGUCUAAUACCGGAUACGACUGCCGGACGCAUGUCUGGUGGUGGAAAGUUUUUUCGGUUGGGGAUGGGCUCGCGGCCUAUCAGUUUGUUGGUGAGGUAAUGGCUCACCAAGACGACGACGGGUAGCCGGCCUGAGAGGGCGACCGGCCACACUGGGACUGAGACACGGCCCAGACUCCUACGGGAGGCAGCAGUGGGGAAUAUUGCACAAUGGGGGAAACCCUGAUGCAGCGACGCAGCGUGCGGGAUGACGGCCUUCGGGUUGUAAACCGCUUUCAGCAGGGAAGAAGCGCAAGUGACGGUACCUGCAGAAGAAGUACCGGCUAACUACGUGCCAGCAGCCGCGGUAAUACGUAGGGUACGAGCGUUGUCCGGAAUUAUUGGGCGUAAAGAGCUCGUAGGUGGUUGGUCACGUCUGCUGUGGAAACGCAACGCUUAACGUUGCGCGUGCAGUGGGUACGGGCUGACUAGAGUGCAGUAGGGGAGUCUGGAAUUCCUGGUGUAGCGGUGAAAUGCGCAGAUAUCAGGAGGAACACCGGUGGCGAAGGCGGGACUCUGGGCUGUAACUGACACUGAGGAGCGAAAGCAUGGGGAGCGAGCAGGAUUAGAUACCCUGGUAGUCCAUGCCGUAAACGUUGGGCACUAGGUGUGGGGGGCAUUCCACGUUCUCCGCGCCGUAGCUAACGCAUUAAGUGCCCCGCCUGGGGAGUACGGUCGCAAGGCUAAAACUCAAAGGAAUUGACGGGGGCCCGCACAAGCGGCGGAGCAUGCGGAUUAAUUCGAUGCAACGCGAAGAACCUUACCAAGGCUUGACAUACACCGGACCGUCCUGGAAACAGGUCUUCUUCUUUGAAGCUGGUGUACAGGUGGUGCAUGGUUGUCGUCAGCUCGUGUCGUGAGAUGUUGGGUUAAGUCCCGCAACGAGCGCAACCCUCGUUCUAUGUUGCCAGCACGUGAUGGUGGGAACUCAUAGGAGACUGCCGGGGUCAACUCGGAGGAAGGUGGGGAUGACGUCAAAUCAUCAUGCCCUUUAUGUCUUGGGCUUCACGCAUGCUACAAUGGCUGGUACAGAGAGAGGCGAACCCGUGAGGGCAAGCGAAUCCCUUAAAGCCAGUCUCAGUUCGGAUCGUAGUCUGCAAUUCGACUACGUGAAGUCGGAGUCGCUAGUAAUCGCAGAUCAGCAACGCUGCGGUGAAUACGUUCCCGGGCCU
rnacentral:rRNA from 1 species